rnacentral:lncRNA from 1 species
AAUAAAAGCAAAGCUUUCUGUUAUUCUUUUUUUUAUUCAGGUGGCAUCAAUCUCCUUUGCUCAACCACUGUGUGUCAGAUGUGUGGCUCUCGCAUACUACCUGCACCACUGCACAGCUUGUGCCCUGAUUCAUCCCGUCCCGCUGAGAACAGCUGCUUAACUAUGCUCGGGAAUGUGGCUAAGGCUCUUCUGGAAAAUAUCCCUGAAAUGGUAGCUCCCACUGAGACAAACAGGAGCCCAUUCAUUGGAGAGAGAUACAGGAAACAGAGACAGGUUUGGUCCACAAGCUAUUCAGAAGAGGCAGGAAGUACCCACGAAAGCCCAGUGCUCUUGGGUUGGAGCUGCCAAGACCCGGCUGCCUUGAAGCAGAGCUGGAAAGAUGCUAAGUCUUUGCAAGUGGCCCUGCAGACUGGCACUGUGAACUGCAAUGGAAGUGCUAACACAUUUUGGGAAUGGACGACAUGCUUUUUGUUGCACUGAAUUUUUCAGGUCUGAACACAUCUCUGUACAGCUCUGUAACCAACUAAAUGGGGAGAAAUUUUGUUGGAGUCAAAGGAGUCAUCUGCAUGCAAGCGAUUCAUAAGAAUCAGUGUUUGUGUUUUGCGCCAAAGGUCUUUUUAAAGGCGUGUAGUUCUCUUGGCAUAAACUGCAUUCAUAACUCAAGAC